AUUGAACGCUGGCGGCACGCCUUACACAUGCAAGUCGAACGGCAGCACGGGUGCUUGCACCUGGUGGCGAGUGGCGAACGGGUGAGUAAUACAUCGGAACAUGUCCUGUAGUGGGGGAUAGCCCGGCGAAAGCCGGAUUAAUACCGCAUACGAUCUACGGAUGAAAGCGGGGGACCUUCGGGCCUCGCGCUAUAGGGUUGGCCGAUGGCUGAUUAGCUAGUUGGUGGGGUAAAGGCCUACCAAGGCGACGAUCAGUAGCUGGUCUGAGAGGACGACCAGCCACACUGGGACUGAGACACGGCCCAGACUCCUACGGGAGGCAGCAGUGGGGAAUUUUGGACAAUGGGCGAAAGCCUGAUCCAGCAAUGCCGCGUGUGUGAAGAAGGCCUUCGGGUUGUAAAGCACUUUUGUCCGGAAAGAAAUCCUUGGCCCUAAUACGGUCGGGGGAUGACGGUACCGGAAGAAUAGGCACCGGCUAACUACGUG
rnacentral:rRNA from 1 species